GUACUACCGAAAAGUCCCAGACUAGGACGAAACAGCUGUCCAGUAC
rnacentral:hammerhead_ribozyme from 1 species